AGACCCGAAACCCGGUGAUCUAGCCAUGGGCAGGUUGAAGGUUGGGUAACACUAACUGGAGGACCGAACCGACUAAUGUUGAAAAAUUAGCGGAUGACCUGUGGCUGGGGGUGAAAGGCCAAUCAAACCGGGAGAUAGCUGGUUCUCCCCGAAAGCUAUUUAGGUAGCGCCUCGUGAAUUCAUCUCCGGGGGUAGAGCACUGUUUCGGCUAGGGGGCCAUCCCGGCUUACCAACCCGAUGCAAACUGCGAAUACCGGAGAAUGUUAUCACGGGAGACACACGGCGGGUGCUAACGUCCGUCGUGAAGAGGGAAACAACCCAGACCGCCAGCUAAGGUCCCAAAGUCAUGGUUAAGUGGGAAACGAUGUGGGAAGGCCCAGACAGCCAGGAUGUUGGCUUAGAAGCAGCCAUCAUUUAAAGAAAGCGUAAUAGCUCACUGGUCGAGUCGGCCUGCGCGGAAGAUGUAACGGGGCUAAACCAUGCACCGAAGCUGCGGCAGCGACGCUGAUGCGUUGUUGGGUAGGGGAGCGUUCUGUAAGCCUGCGAAGGUGGCCUGUGAGGGUUGCUGGAGGUAUCAGAAGUGCGAAUGCUGACAUAAGUAACGAUAAAGCGGGUGAAAAGCCCGCUCGCCGGAAGACCAAGGGUUCCUGUCCAACGUUAAUCGGGGCAGGGUGAGUCGACCCCUAAGGCGAGGCCGAAAGGCGUAGUCGAUGGGAAACGGGUUAAUAUUCCCGUACUUGGUGUUACUGCGAAGGGGGGACGGAGAAGGCUAUGUUGGCCGGGCGACGGUUGUCCCGGUUUAAGCGUGUAGGUGUGUGUUCCAGGUAAAUCCGGUUCACUUUAACACUGAGGCGUGAUGACGAGGCACUACGGUGCUGAAGCAACAAAUGCCCUGCUUCCAGGAAAAGCCUCUAAGCAUCAGGUAACAUCAAAUCGUACCCCAAACCGACACAGGUGGUCAGGUAGAGAAUACCAAGGCGCUUGAGAGAACUCGGGUGAAGGAACUAGGCAAAAUGGUGCCGUAACUUCGGGAGAAGGCACGCUGACACGUAGGUGAAGUGAUUUACUCAUGGAGCUGAAGUCAGUCGAAGAUACCAGCUGGCUGCAACUGUUUAUUAAAAACACAGCACUGUGCAAACACGAAAGUGGACGUAUACGGUGUGACGCCUGCCCGGUGCCGGAAGGUUAAUUGAUGGGGUCAGCGCAAGCGAAGCUCCUGAUCGAAGCCCCGGUAAACGGCGGCCGUAACUAUAACGGUCCUAAGGUAGCGAAAUUCCUUGUCGGGUAAGUUCCGACCUGCACGAAUGGCGUAAUGAUGGCCAGGCUGUCUCCACCCGAGACUCAGUGAAAUUGAACUCGCUGUGAAGAUGCAGUGUACCCGCGGCAAGACGGAAAGACCCCGUGAACCUUUACUAUAGCUUGACACUGAACAUUGAGCCUUGAUGUGUAGGAUAGGUGGGAGGCUUUGAAGUGUGGACGCCAGUCUGCAUGGAGCCGGCCUUGAAAUACCACCCUUUAAUGUUUGAUGUUCUAACGUGGACCCGUGAUCCGGGUUGCGGACAGUGUCUGGUGGGUAGUUUGACUGGGGCGGUCUCCUCCUAAAGAGUAACGGAGGAGCACGAAGGUUGGCUAAUCCUGGUCGGACAUCAGGAGGUUAGUGCAAUGGCAUAAGCCAGCUUGACUGCGAGCGUGACGGCGCGAGCAGGUGCGAAAGCAGGUCAUAGUGAUCCGGUGGUUCUGAAUGGAAGGGCCAUCGCUCAACGGAUAAAAGGUACUCCGGGGAUAACAGGCUGAUACCGCCCAAGAGUUCAUAUCGACGGCGGUGUUUGGCACCUCGAUGUCGGCUCAUCACAUCCUGGGGCUGAAGUAGGUCCCAAGGGUAUGGCUGUUCGCCAUUUAAAGUGGUACGCGAGCUGGGUUUAGAACGUCGUGAGACAGUUCGGUCCCUAUCUGCCGUGGGCG
rnacentral:rRNA from 1 species